GGGUUGCUAACCCAACGGUAGAGUACUCGGCUUUUAA
rnacentral:tRNA from 1 species